GGGUUUUAGGGAAGUCUUCUUAACUUCGUCUGGGACUCAUAAUCCAUUGGUCGAAGGUUCGAGUCCUUCCGGGCCCACCA
rnacentral:tRNA from 1 species